rnacentral:rRNA from 1 species
GGAGUUAGCCGGUGCUUCUUCUGCGAGUAACGUCACAGAUGUAAGGUAUUAACUUACACCCUUUCCUCCUCGCUGAAAGUGCUUUACAACCCGAAGGCCUUCUUCACACACGCGGCAUGGCUGCAUCAGGGUUUCCCCCAUUGUGCAAUAUUCCCCACUGCUGCCUCCCGUAGGAGUCUGGGCCGUGUCUCAGUCCCAGUGUGGCUGAUCAUCCUCUCAGACCAGCUAGGGAUCGUCGCCUAGGUGAGCCUUUACCUCACCUACUAGCUAAUCCCACCUGGGCUUAUCCAUCAGCGCAAGGCCCGAAGGUCCCCUGCUUUCCCCCGUAGGGCGUAUGCGGUAUUAGCAGUCGUUUCCAACUGUUAUCCCCCACAAAUGGGCAAAUUCCCAGGCAUUACUCACCCGUCCGCCGCUCGUCAUCUUCAAAAGCAAGCUUUUGAAAUGUUACCGCUCGACUUGCAUGUGUUAGGCCUGCCGCCAGCGUUCAAUCUGAGCCAGAAUGAACCCUGA